rnacentral:rRNA from 1 species
CGCUGGCGGCAGGCUUAACACAUGCAAGUCGAACGAUGAUUAUCUAGCUGCUAGAUAUGAUUAGUGGCGGACGGGUGAGUAACAUUUAGGAAUCUGCCUAGUAGUGGGGGAUAGCUCGGGGAAACUCGAAUUAAUACCGCAUACGACCUACGGGUGAAAGGGGGCGCAAGCUCUUGCUAUUAGAUGAGCCUAAAUCAGAUUAGCUAGUUGGUGGGGUAAAGGCCCACCAAGGCGACGAUCUGUAACUGGUCUGAGAGGAUGAUCAGUCACACCGGAACUGAGACACGGUCCGGACUCCUACGGGAGGCAGCAGUGGGGAAUAUUGGACAAUGGGGGCAACCCUGAUCCAGCCAUGCCGCGUGUGUGAAGAAGGCCUUUUGGUUGUAAAGCACUUUAAGCAGGGAGGAGAGGCUAAUGGUUAAUACCCCAUUAGAUUAG